UCGGGAUGCGUUUUGGAUAUCGAGCGUCAUGGCUCAAAUGAUUACAGGAUGAGUACAUCAGGAUAUCAGCUAACUGAAGUAAAGACGGUGAGCGUUUGAGCAAGAGUUAGGAAUGAAGAGAAUACGAUUCCUGAAUGUAGAAAAUCGCACUGUAAUGAUUUUGUUAGUCGAAUAAACAUGAUCACUUAAUCCCAUGUGCUUACGCGUUUCCAUUGAGUUUUGUGCGCAGAAAUUACUGUCUUACAGCUAUACGGUACAAAAACGCAACAGCAAACGCAAAUCCUUAUAAGUUUGUUUCUCAGAGAAGUCGGCCAAAAAGGACACAUUUGUGAGAAAAAUGAUGCAAUAUCUAAAAUAGCCCAAUUAUUCUGGGUGAAAUGAUGAAGAUCUGUCCUCUCACUACCUAAAGUCCCACCCCUUUUCAUCGUUUUCGACUAAAUCAAUAUUCACGGUUGGAAAGGCUAACACAUCUAAAAAUCGAUGCCAAGUAAACAUUUCGACCACGACGAUCAAUGAUUUGGCUUCUUUAAUCCUUUAAAUUUCAAUGUGUUGUACAU